rnacentral:rRNA from 1 species
CCUACGGGGAGCAGCAGUAGGGAAUAUUGCUCAAUGGGGGAAACCCUGAAGCAGCAACGCCGCGUGGAGGAUGAAGGUUUUCGGAUUGUAAACUCCUUUUGUUAGAGAAGAUAAUGACGGUAUCUAACGAAUAAGCACCGGCUAACUCCGUGCCAGCAGCCGCGGUAAUACGGAGGGUGCAAGCGUUACUCGGAAUCACUGGGCGUAAAGAGCGCGUAGGCGGGAUAGCAAGUCAGAUGUGAAAUCCUAUGGCUUAACCAUAGAAUUGCAUUUGAAACUGUUAUUCUAGAGUAUGGGAGAGGUAGGGGGAAUUCGUGGUGUAGGGGGAAAAUCCGUAGAGAUCAAGAGGAAUACUGAGUGCGAAGGCAACCUAAUAAAACAUAACUGACGCUGAUGCGCGAAAGCGUGGGGAGCAAACAGGAUGAGAUACCCUAGUAGUC